UGUGUGUUUCCCUGUGAUGAAACGGCAACCUGUACAGGGUGUACCUCCUCCGCCUCUAGACUGAUGAUCGCUGCAGAUGGGCACCAAUAUUUCACCAGGAUCUUGUCUUGAUGAUGAGAGAAUCCAACCACUGUGCAAAGUCUGGACUUGAGACGACGCUCAGACUACAGGACUGUCCUCUCUGGCUUGUACAGGCAUGAUGGGUUCAUCACUUCAUCUGCAACACUUUUUACCCCGAUGUGCUCUUCACACCGGAAGAAGGAAACAUGGAAGGGGCACACGAUCGCAGAUGGCGUUGGCACACUCCGAACCCCGCAGGCUAAACAGCCACCCGGGGGCAGUCAAAGAGCACGAAUGAGAAGGAAAAAUUUCGAGCCUUCAAAAGCAGCUCGUGGUCAGAAACUGCCAAUCAGAGCCAGGAGGAGAGUCUUACCGCUGACAAUCAUCCUCGUGAACACGCC